rnacentral:tRNA from 1 species
GGGGAUUUAGCUCAGCAGCUUAAGUGCCUGCCUUACAAGCAGGCAGUUGUGAGUUGUUCAAUCCCCG